rnacentral:rRNA from 1 species
CGAGGGGUGCAAGCGUUGCUCGGAAUCAUUGGGCGUAAAGGGUAGGUAGGUGGUCUCAUUUGUCUGAGGUGAAAGCCUUGAGCUUAACUCAAGAAGUGCCUCGGAAACGGUGAGACUGGAGUCCUGGAGAGGGUCGUGGAAUUCCCGGUGUAGCGGUGAAAUGCGUAGAGAUCGGGAGGAACACCAGAGGCGAAAGCGGCGACCUGGACAGGUACUGACACUUAACUACGAAAGCGUGGGGAGCAAACAGGAUUAGAUACCCUGGUAGUCCACGCCGUAAACGAUGGGUACUAGGUUUGGUGGGUCUUGACCCCCGCCGAACCGGCGCUAACGCAAUAAGUACCCCGCCUGGGAAGUACGGUCGCAAGACUA